CCGAAAGGCAGGAGUGCCUGCAAGGGAGCGCGGAGACAGGUGGUGCAUGGCUGUCGUCAGCUCGUGUCGUGAGAUGUUGGGUUAAGUCCCGCAACGAGCGCAACCCUCACCUCUUGUUGCCAUCAGGUCAUGCUGGGCACUCUAGAGGAACUGCCCCGGUCAACGGGGAGGAAGGCGGGGAUGACGUCAAGUCAUCAUGCCCCUUACGUCCUGGGCUACACACGUGCUACAAUGGCCGGUACAAAGGGAUGCCACACCGCGAGGUAGAGCUAAACCCAAAAAGCCGGUCUAAGUUCGGAUUGGAGUCUGCAACUCGACUCCAUGAAGGAGGAAUCGCUAGUAAUCGCGUAUCAGCACGACGCGGUGAAUACGUUCCCGGGCCUUGUACACACCGCUCGUCACACCACGAAAGCCAG
rnacentral:rRNA from 1 species